CCCCCUUCGAUCCGGGGCUCGUGUGGGAUGGAUCAGAGCCACUGUCUCACCAUGGCGGACGGAGAGGGGAGAAGAAGCGCAGGUCCGCCAUGGUGGCGCCACUGCCCAUGAUGCCACUGCCAGGGCCAGCGCCACGAGGCAAGAUGGACGCCAGCUCAGCGCCACAGCACAAGAUGGCCGCCAGCCCAGCGCCACAGCACAAGAUGGCCGCCAGCCCAGCGCCACAGCACAAGAUGGCCGCCAGCCCAGUGCCGCAGCACAAGAUGGCCGCCAGCCCAGCGCCGCAGCACAAGAUGGCCGCCAGCCCAGCACCACAGCACAGGAUGGUUGACUCAACGCCUGAGUCUUCCGUCAAGGAGCCACCGGCUCGCCAUCAUAGAGGGCGGAGGAGGAGGAGACAGGCGUCAGCCGUUCCUCAAAGCCCGGGGGGGGGUCCCGAGCAGGCCGCUGCCGUCCAGGAGGACGUUCCAGAGCGGGCCGCCGCCGUCCAGGAGGACGUUCCAGAGCGGGCCACUGCCGUCCAGGAGGACGUUCCCGAGCGGGCCGCUGCCGUCCAGGAGGACGUUCCCGAGCAGGCCGCUGUCGUCCAGGUGGACGUGCCCGAGGUUCCCGAGGCGGUGCCCGAUGCCGAGGCGGUGCCCGAUGCCGAGGCGGUGCCUGAUGCGGUGGCCGAGGCGGUUCCCGAUGCAAUGUCCGAUGCCGAGGCGGUGCCCGAUGCCGAGGCGGUGCCCGAUGCCGAGGCGGUGACCGAUGCCGUUCCGGAGGUCGAGGCAGUGACCGAUGCCGUGCCAGAGACGGUGCCAGAGACGGUUCCCGAUGUAAUGCCCGAGACCGAGGCUGUUCCGGAGGUCGAGGCGGUGCCCGAUGCUGUUCCGGAGGCCGAUGCGGGGCCCGAGAUGGUUCCGGAGGCGAUACCCGUGUCCAAGGCCGUUCCCGAGGCGGUGCCCUUGUCUGAGGCCGUUCCCGAUGCCGUUCCCAAUGCCGUGACCUGGCCACAGCCUGCUCCUUACUGGCUCCCCGAUUGGCAGGUUCCGUUCGGGCCACUCAAAUGGCGAAUUCCUCCCUGGCCGUCUGCACAACGAGAAUGGACUGAUCCACCGUGGCCACCUGAACUGCCUGGUCCCUCGUGGUCCCCUGAACUUUCGGGUCCACCGUGGCCACCUGAACUGCCUGGUCCCUCGUGGUCCCCUGAACUUUCGGGCCCACCAUGGCCCCCUGAUCUGACCGAGCC
ensembl:lncRNA